AUACGUUCCCGGGCCUUGUACACACCGCCCGUCAAGUCACGAAAGUUGGUAACACCCGAAGCCGGUGGCCUAACCCUGGUGGGGGGAGCCGUCGAAGGUGGGACUGGCGAUUGGGACUAAGUCGUAACAAGGUAGCCGUACCGGAAGGUGCGGCUGGAUCACCUCCUUUCUAAGGAG
rnacentral:rRNA from 1 species